rnacentral:misc_RNA from 1 species
UCCGGUUUGGCACCGGCAGUCUUCCCAGAGUCCCCGCCAUAACGCGCUGGCAACUGGGAACGGGGGUUGCGCUCGUUGCGGGACUUAACCCAACAUCUCACGACACGAGCUGACGACAGCCAUGCAGCACCUGUGCAUGGACUCCGAAGAGGGCCUCUGGUUUCUCAGAGGUUUCCCAUGCAUGUCAAGCCUAGGUAAGGUUCUUCGCGUUGCGUCGAAUUAAACCACAUGCUCCACCGCUUGCGCGGGCCCCCGUCAAUUCCUUUGAGUUUUAAGCUUGCGCUCGUAGUUCCCAGGCGGAUGACUUCGCGCGUUAGCUGCGUUACUAAGGGAUUUAACUCCCCCAACAACUAGUCAUCAUCGUUUAGGGCGUGGACUAC